AUUUCCAAAUAAAAGUCAAACUCAGGUCUAUCUGGCAGAAGCUUGUGCUAAAGUGCAUCUUCUCUGGAAGCUCAUUAGCUGGAAAGGACUCAGAUUCGGACUCUAGAGAAGUUCCCAUGACACCCAGAGAUCCUGGGGUUUGAGUUUUUUCAGUAAGUUUGAGAAGCUAAAGGGGUCAGUGAGCAAUGAGCAUGCAAGAGGAGGGCAGGACUGAGGGGCUGUGCAUGGUGCUGGAGCCUGAGGAAGGAGAAAAGAGGUCUUCACGGUACAGUGGGAAAGAAGAGUGGAGGGAUAAGGCAGCAUGUACUGGAAAAGGGAGAGCUACUAACCCUGUGUUGUGAGCUAAGUUGUCCUGGGAGGAGUCCAUACAGGAGGCAACAGGUAUUUGGGAAGUAGAAAAGCUGAAUGCCAGCACUUUGCUGAGCUCCUACAGAACUCUUGGUCCUUUCCUUGGCCCCCUGGAAGACAUUUUUCCUUCUCCAGGAUCUGCCAAUGUCUCUCCACCAGGUAACACAAACCUUGAUUUAUUCCCUUCUUACAUCUUGCAAGUUCUUCCCCUUCGACUUUGGAGGAUGUCCUAUGGAGUUUUUCACUGUUUAAACUUUUCCUGAUUUUAUGGUGACGAACUUAUUUCUCUCGGCCAGUGACACAGAAGCAAACUUUCUCCUAAAAAUAUGAAGGGAAACUCAAUUUCCCACCAUUAAAAUUAUCAUUUUUCAGUAGAAGUAAUUAAUUUAAUCUAAUGGAUUUUCAUGCAGUCUACAUGGAGGAUCCAUAUCUUUCCUAUUAAAUUGACUGGCCUUAUUCCUCACAGAAUUCUCACCCUGACUACUGGCAUGUUGCUUCCUGCUCUCAGUCAUUUGGUGUUAAUUGUGCUCUGUCCAAACAGUCUGUUUCUGAAUCUCACAUAACUUAUCAGCCACUGAGAGCAGUGGUGACAGUUUUAGCUCAUCGUGCUACAGCUACAUAAUUUAAUAACACAAUAUUUAUUAAACGUCCACCAUGUGAUAAACUCUGUGCUGUCAGGAGAAAUAAAGCACUGUAUCAAACAACUGAACAACUCAAACGCUGGGUGGACACCACAUGUCACGGGGCCUGGAUUUUAUAAAAGAAGAAGAAGAGGGACACUAGAGGUUUCAGUGAAGAAGUAUUCAGUUCAUCUAAGGAAGCCACAAAAUCUUCACAGUCGGCUGAUGAGGUGGAGCCUCAAAGACUAAAUAGGAAUUUUCUAGGUGGGAAAAGGAGUCAGGCUGAACAGUAGAACAAAUUCAGCAAAGAUAAUCAAAGACAGAGAGGUGCAAAUAUUAAGGUAUAUUCCAGCAGCACUAUUGAUUACAGUGACUACAGAAUAGGGCUGAGGGAAGAGAUGGAAAUACACAAGUAGGCCAGAGGCAAAUAUGAGGAUUUGUUGAGUCGCAUACUCGAGAUUAGACCUUAUUCUGUUGAUCUGCUUACCAAAAUAUUUUAAGCUGGGGAGUGACCGGAUUAGAUUUGCCUUUAGAAAAUCUCAUUCUCAUAGUAUGGGAGGGAUUGGAGGCAAGAUGCCACAUGGGAGAUUCUCAUGAUUGCUCAGGCUGGAAAUAUAAGGGCUUAAUUCAGGGAGGUGGUGAACGUUCACAACUAAUGACAGAGACUCUGGAAGCAAAUACAUGGGUUUGAGUUAUUGCUUGUCUCUUACAAAAAAAUAUACUCUAGCUGAGCUUCAUCCUCUCUCUACACCUCACCUAUAAGAUGUGGAUAAUGGUCCUACUCACCUAAGAAAAAUGCUGUGAAACCCAAAUGAUAUAAAUCAUUCAUCAAAGUGUCUCAUGCACAGUAAAUGUUCAAUAAAAUGAUCAUUGUUAUCAAUAUUAUAGCUGUGGAGGUAUUUGAAUUGAUGGUAGGAAACAAGAGACAAUGUGGUCAUUUUGCUAACCACUUGCAGUACCAGCCAGAUCCUGAACCUCUCCCAUAUUCAGCCUCUGUCUGCUCAGGACUCACUCUCUGGUCUAUUCCUCCAAUGAUCUAGGCAUCUUUAUGCUCAUGGCCAUAGGUUCUUCAGAUAAAGCCAAUGUUAGCUCGAGCUGCUGCACACAAAUUCCCACUUUUUCCUUUCCAUUUUGAACUUGCUCAUCACACUCUGGCCUCAUUUAUUCCCCUGUCUGCUUAGAUUUGUAACCCAGUCAGGUCUCAUUUAGUUAACGUUUGGACUUAAUAAUCUACCUUCAGACAGACUUUGACAGGAGAAGGGUGAGCAACCCCAUUGCUUUGCCCUGCUAGAGACCCGGGUACAACACGGAGCCAGUACUUGCUGCCCUCAGAGCCUUCUCCUCUGGAGAGCGGGGAGAGAUAUACAAACUCUUAAAUAGUCACUUUACAUAUCAAACACUUUUGUGUUUUACCAUGACAUGCUAAUUUAAUACUGCAAGUCCCCUGUCUUUCCCACUUCAUUAAAAUAAUCACAAUCAUCACUCUUUCUUUUAGUAUGACACUAUUCAUUUUGAAAAUUGCUUUCACCUACAUUAGUUAUUCUAAGAGUCACAAAUACCCCCUGAGAUAUAGGGCUGCAGGAAAUUUGGAAAAGAGAGGGUCAAAAAGCCAGUUAUAAACACCUACCCUAACAUAGCAGGGAUGAUAAUGAAAAAUCCCUCAAUUUUUUAUUCAUGUACAUUUGUCCUGCUGAUGUGUUUUUGUUUAACAUUAUGCAAUGGAAUUUGUUCUUGGUGAUAUAUAAAACAACUCUAAUUAUGAUUCUAGUUACAAUAAAGCUGUAAUUUCCCAACCAACCAUAUUCACUGCGCUAGUUUACUCAGAUUAUCAAUCCAUUAUUACUUAACAAAGACUAUUAAACAUGUGAUAUUUUUCUUGGUUUAUAAAUCAGAAAUUUAGAUUUCAGAGAGAUUGAGCAGCUUGCUCAAAAUAACUUGAUAGUUUUGUACUAUAAAAUAAAUCACU